CUGGAUCUACUUGGUAGAACAUUCUUGUACUAAUCUUUCUUGUUUACCAGAUUUUUCUAUUAAUACAGUCUGAAAAGAACAGUUGCGCUCUCAUGGUGUGUUUCUGUUUGUUGUCAAACAGCAGCUGAUAUUUUAUCAAGUUAGCAGGCUUCCUAGUGCUGGGGAAACAGUCCCUUACCUUCUUCACCCCUGCCUUGGAAAGCUCUCACCAAAAUCACUGGACCUUUGACUCAAUACUUGGUCCUGUGGGCCGCCCCAGCUUGCUGUGAACAUGACUUUCUCGGGUUUCCUGAGACGGUGUUAAGACAAGUCUACGGGAGGCGUAAAAGUUCCCUGAAGACACGGGAAAGGCUAACAAAAAACCGAGCACCAAAGGAAAAGCAAUCUUCACUUCACUAUCCAAAAUGCCUGACGCUGAAGAGCACUCUGGGUUUGUUCCCCCAUCUCUUUUUCCUCUAGUUCCAGGAUCCAAACUCCUUUUCUCAGGCCUCAAGGAGAAAAUGUGAGAGAAUUGGACGCAAUUUUAGGUUGUAGAGAUGGAGCCACUUGAAAGAGACUGAAAAUCCAAUAAGGAAAAUUCUUGCUAGAAUGGAAACACCAUCUUGGCCGUCUUAAUUAUCACAGCUAAAUUCCCAGCAUCAAGCACAACGGUUUGCACACAGUAGGAGCUCAAUAAAAUGCUUUAGAAGGAAGCAAAUAAUGAAGGAACUAAUGCAAGAGAAAACAGAACCAAGAGUAUGGUUAUGGAAGGAGGCUUGAAUCAGCCUCGGUGCUUGAGGGGAUGUAAUUCCCAGAAAAUGGGCAGAGGGAGAUAAAUGUGUAGACAAGCGGGAAGGAAAACCAAGAAGUGUACACCAUCCUGUGGCCUGGAUUUCAUUUUAUUUUUUUAAAUUCUGAAGCAAGGUUGUCUGCCAAGGUUGGGGAAAGGAAAGUGGAGGAGGAAACCUGACUUGUCCAUCGAAUUAUUGCAAGACCUUCAUGUCGCCAAGGAAAAGCACCUUCUGUGUGCUGAGUGAGGUGCGUCAGGAGACGCUGCGUAUAAGAUUAAGCUCCUGUUGCUCAAUUAUUAGUGCAUCUGCCAGAUGAGGAUAAGAGAUGAAAAUCUCAGCCCAACCAACAGAAUGACAUUUUACUACCAAGCCCUUUGGAAAGUUCCUGGGGAAUCCUCUGCAUGUUGUUGGGCCAGCACCUUUCAUGGACCCCAAGAGAAUCAGGACACAGCCUUUCGGGCUUGAUGCAGAUGACAGCAGGCCUUGGGGAUGGUGGAACCAGAAGACAGAAGUACCUGGCCAUCAAACAGGAACACCUGCCAUUUUGGGAGAUAUAAACAACUUCAAGGAAUCUCCAACUUAAUUUUGUUGUCAGGUUAUUAAGAAGCAUAUAAUGCAAAAAGAAAAGUAUUGGUUUAUAGAUAAGUAGAUAAAUGUGUAGAAAAUUAGCCAGUUGAAUUCAGUAGCAUCUGAUCCUUUUACGGGGUUUUGGUUUUUGUAUUCUCUAAGAUUCAAUAGGCUUAUUUAUGUGGUUCCAGCAUUUGAAGGAAGAAAAAAUAAAGGCUUGGACAAUGGGAACAUCUCUAACUACGUGGUAAAGUUCAACUCAGAGCUAUUCCCUAUCAACUUACUUUUCGAACAAUAUAUUAGAAUUAAUUUUAAUACCAUUGUGGUUGAGUGGACAGUAAAUUCAAGAAACAUGAAUAUGGAAAAUUAAUUUAAAUGUAUAAUUACUAACAUUUAAUAAUUUGAAAUUACGUUUGAAAUAAUGUUACCAUUGUUCUGCUAAAAUUGUCUGAAAAAUAUUUAGUGUCCUAGUAGUUUUGUAAAAAUGUAACUGGUUAGUAUUAAGUAACUUGAGCAGUAAUUUUGAAAAGAACAGACUCCAGGAAGGAAAAGGAGUUUUGAGUUCAAACCAGAAGAACCUUGCAAAAGUUUGUUUGCUUGAGGUUUGAAAGAAUGAAAGAAACAUAGAUACUGGAAACAGUAAACAAGGUGGAAGGGAGAGAGGAAGGGGAAGAAAGGAGAUACCAUUCUGUUUUAGGAGGUUGUUGCUUUGCAGCACCAGGAUCAAUGGUACUGAAAUUUGGGAAACUGGGAAGGAAGCAGGAGGUGGGUGGUAGGGAAGGUGAAUUCUUUCUGAUGUCGACAUCACAUUUCAGACAUCAUCUGAAGAAUCACAUAGGCAACAUGAAUCUGUAGGUGACCUGAGUCUAAAGACAGAACAGAAGGUCAGGCAGGGAUGGAGAGGGAAGUCUGGUAAAACCCUGACUGACUUGGAGUAGCAGGGUGGUGGCCUGUUUCAAGGAAUGCCGGCAAUACAGAUGUGAAAGAGAAGGCCGCAGGCACAAACACGAAAAAAAAUACCCCAACAGAAAACGAAACUUACAACUGAUACCUAAUAAAAAAGGAGGGAUGCCCUGGCAUAAGAUUUAUUUCUUACAGAUCUUCGGGCCAUUCCAAGAGUACACAGGGCAGAUAUGUUAUGACCAAAAGCAGAAAUACUUACAUCUGUUACAUUUCUAACACUGCACAAGCUAUUUGUUCAUAGAUCUUCUCCACCAAAUUAAGCAACCUGGGAACAGACAUGGUUUCAUUCUCUGCACCUGACGCCUUGCACAGUUUCUAAGACUUGGUAGAUACUCAGGUAUCUGUUGAAUUUUAUUUUGCUGUUGUACAUAGGAAACCAAAGGACACAUUUUGGGGUUAUUAGAAAAGGGGAGUGAGGAGAUAGAUACACAGUAUCAAAAAAUCAUUUGUAGGGAAAAUGUUGUCCUAAGAAAAUUUAAUAUGAACUUAAUGGAUGUUUGGCCAGGUUGUUGGUCCACUGAAUGCUACUCACUUUUUGUUUCCUUUGAGCCAAGGAGGGUGGGAUUUCUGACUUUUUGCUUUCAUGCCAUUGGGAUUCAUGCACUUCUAUGCUGUAAACCUGACACUGUGAGGGAACAGGUAACUAAUAAAAAUCUCUGGAACAAAUCUCUUAAAUGUCUUAAAUGAAAUGAGCAAUGUAGGUUUAAAUUCCAGACACAUAUAUUUUUCCCCCCAAGGUCUCCCUCCAAAGCAACAUUCUCCCUCCAAAAGCAGAAUUCUUAAUACUGUCACCUUUUCUUGAAUUCUUAAUGGGCUAUACAAGCUGGUGUGGUUGUAUUUGAAGAAACAAAAAUAUUAAAAAGAAAAAAAGCACAAGAUUUCCUUUGCCUUUCACGAGAAGACUUCCAGCUUACUUCUUUUAAAAUAUUGCCCCUGAAUUGCAAAUUACUUCAUGGUCUUUUUUCAGUGAGCUCUCUUCCUAGACUGACACAGCCAGCUGUGCCACUGUCCCGUCUAUGGAAAUGAUGUCAUCAGUACUCUGUCCUUGAAUCAAACCACAAUCAUUACAUUUGGCUCUUUUUCACAUAGCAGGAACCCAAUAUAUUCUUGUUUACAGAAACGGCAUUUAGAAAGUUAUCACUUGUAGACUCUAUCAGUUGGCAACUUAAGUCAAAAGAGAGCUGAGCAUGAAUUACCUGAAUCCCUUUUUAAAGUAAAAGUUUUUUUAAUUGUAAUGCACUUAUU